UGUCUACAUACAAAAAACAUGGAGGCCGUCCAGAAGUUUUUUUUGCGGGGCUUAUACAAAGAUGUGAAGAUACAUCAAAUCACUCGAUGGAAAAGAAAUUGCCAGCCAGUAUGUGUGUAUACGGUGGUUUACAAAAUCAAGAUAAUGAAGAAGAUUUAAAAAAAAUGUUUCGUCAUAUUACUGAAAUGGUUUUUGGAAUGCGUGUGGUCGAAAAAAAACUCAGUGAUGAUGGAGUCUUCGCAUCAAUAAGCUAUGCCCCGGUUCGUUGUGCAUGCAAUGUGCGAAAUUUUGAUAUGGCUGCAGAGGAGCCUCGCAUGCAGCCCCUAAUUACAGAGGUAUCAAGUUAUUUUUCCACCAUGAAGUUGUAAUUUGGAUCAUUUUAUAAAUGAUUAAAGUAUUAUAUAUG